rnacentral:rRNA from 1 species
CACUCUAGAGAGAAUGCCAGGGAUAACCUGGAGGAAGGUGGGGAUGACGUCAAAUCAUCAUGCCCCUUAUGCUUAGGGCUACACACGUGCUACAAUGGGUAGUACAGAGGGUUGCCAAGCCGUAAGGUGGAGCUAAUCCCUUAAAGCUACUCUUAGUUCGGAUUGUAGGCUGAAACUCGCCUACAUGAAGCUGGAGUUACUAGUAAUCGCAGAUCAGAAUGCUGCGGUGAAUGCGUUCCCGGGUCUUGUACACACCGCCCGUCACACCACGGGAGUUGGAGACGCCCGAAGCCGAUUAUCUAACCUUUUGGAAGAAGUCGUCGAAGGUGGAAUCAAUAACUGGGGUGAAGUCGUAACAAGGUAGCCGUAUCGGAAGGUGCGGCUGGAUCACCUCCUUUCUAAGGAGA